UUUAGAGGAAGUAAAAGUCGUAACAAGGUUUCCGUAGGUGAACCUGCGGAAGGAUCAUUAUCGUACAACUGAGACCCAAGGGCUGUCGGCUGACCUUGUUGAAGGUCGUGCACGUCCGAGGUGCUCUCACCCUACAUCCACAUCACCUCUUGUGCAUCAUCGCGUGCGGUUCCCCUUUUUGACUUGUUCUGAGGGGGCUCACGUUUUUCUUACAAACACCCUUUUGAUAUGGCUUAGAAUGUUUCUAUUAAUUGUGAUCAUACGCAAUCAAUACAACUUUCAACAACGGAUCUCUUGGCUCUCGCAUCGAUGAAGAACGCAGCGAAAUGCGAUACGUAAUGUGAAUUGCAGAAUUCAGUGAAUCAUCGAAUCUUUGAACGCACCUUGCGCCCCUUGGCAUUCCGAGGGGCACACCCGUUUGAGUGUCAUGAAAUUGUCAAGCCUUUCUCGGUUUUCAAGAUCGGGAGAAGGCCUUGGACUCUGGAGGUGUUUUGCUGGCUUUGGUGAAAGCCAGCUCCUCUUAAAUGAAUUAGUGGGGUCCCCUUUGAUUGAUCCCUUGACGUGAUAAGACAUUUCUACGUCUUGGGACUCAUUCUGUUUGAUGGGCACCUGCUUCUAACUGUCUUUUUCAAAGACAUCGUUCGAGCUUACUCGACCCAUAUAGACCCUUGACCUCAAAUCGGGUGAGACUACCCGCUGAACUUAAGCAUAUCAAUAAGCGGA
rnacentral:rRNA from 1 species